rnacentral:rRNA from 1 species
GACGAACGCUGGCGGCGUGCUUAACACAUGCAAGUCGAACGGAAAGGCCCUGCUUUUGUGGGGUGCUCGAGUGGCGAACGGGUGAGUAACACGUGAGUAACCUGCCCUUGACUUUGGGAUAACUUCAGGAAACUGGGGCUAAUACCGGAUAGGAGCUCCUGCUGCAUGGUGGGGGUUGGAAAGUUUCGGCGGUUGUGGAUGGACUCGCGGCUUAUCAGCUUGUUGGUGGGGUAGUGGCUUACCAAGGCUUUGACGGGUAGCCGGCCUGAGAGGGUGACCGGCCACCUUGGGACUGAGAUACGGCCCAGACUCCUACGGGAGGCAGCAGUGGGGAAUAUUGCACAAUGGGCGGAAGUCUGAUGCAGCAACGCCGCGUGCGGGAUGACGGCUUUCGGGUUGUAAACCGCUUUCGCCUGUGACGAAGCGUGAGUGACGGUAAUGGGUAAAGAAGCACCGGCUAACUACGUG